CCUACGGGGGGCAGCAGUAGGGAAUCUUCGGCAAUGGACGGAAGUCUGACCGAGCAACGCCGCGUGAGUGAAGAAGGUUUUCGGAUCGUAAAGCUCUGUUGUAAGAGAAGAACGAGUGUGAGAGUGGAAAGUUCACACUGUGACGGUAUCUUACCAGAAAGGGACGGCUAACUACGUGCCAGCAGCCGCGGUAAUACGUAGGUCCCGAGCGUUGUCCGGAUUUAUUGGGCGUAAAGCGAGCGCAGGCGGUUAGAUAAGUCUGAAGUUAAAGGCUGUGGCUUAACCAUAGUACGCUUUGGAAACUGUUUAACUUGAGUGCCAGAGGGGAGAGUGGAAUUCCAUGUGUAGCGGUGAAAUGCGUAGAUAUAUGGAGGAACACCGGUGGCGAAAGCGGCUCUCUGGCUUGUAACUGACGCUGAGGCUCGAAAGCGUGGGGAGCAAACAGGAUUAGAUACCCGUGUAGUC
rnacentral:rRNA from 1 species